rnacentral:rRNA from 1 species
GAGACGCUGGCGGCGUGCUUCAUACAUGCAAGUCGAACGAGAAGUUACCUUCGGUAAUGGAAAGUGGCGGACGGGUGAGUAAUGUGUAGAGAAUCUGCCCUAGAGUGGGGGACAACAGUUGGAAACGACUGCUAAUACCGCAUAUGAGCGUAGCUGGAAUGCUAUUCUUGAAAACUUCGGUGCUCUGGGAUGAGUCUGCAUCUGAUUAGGCUAGUUGGCGGUGUAAUGGACCACCAAGGCGACGAUCAGUAGCUGGUUUGAGAGGAUGAUCAGCCACAAUGGGACUGAGACACGGCCCAUACUCCUACGGGAGGCAGCAGUAGGGAAUUUUGCGCAAUGGGCGAAAGCCUGAACCGCAGCAACGCCGCGUGAUUGAAAAGCCCUUCGGGUGUAAAGAUCUGUCAGUAGGGACGAAACUUGACGGUACCUACAGAGGAAGCAUCGGCUAACUCCGUGCCAGCCGCUGC